GCCAGACUCCUACGGGAGGCAGCAGUGGGGGAUAUUGCACAAUGGGGGAAACCCUGAUGCAGCGACGCCGCGUGAGUGAAGAAGUAUUUCGGUAUGUAAAGCUCUAUCAGCAGGGAAGAAAAAAGACGGUACCUGACUAAGAAGCCCCGGCUAACUACGUGCCAGCAGCCGCGGUAAUACGUAGGGGGCAAGCGUUAUCCGGAUUUACUGGGUGUAAAGGGAGCGUAGACGGCAAUACAAGUCGGAAGUGAAAUACCCGGGCUCAACCUGGGAACUGCUUUGGAAACUGUAUGGCUGGAGUGCUGGAGAGGUAAGCGGAAUUCCUAGUGUAGCGGUGAAAUGCGUAGAUAUUAGGAGGAACACCAGUGGCGAAGGCGGCUUACUGGACUGUAACUGACGUUGAGGCUCGAAAGCGUGGGGAGCAAACAGGAUUAGAUACCCUGGUAC
rnacentral:rRNA from 1 species